AUUUUUCAUCCCAUACACUGUCCCUUGGGAAGACCCCACCUUCCCUCAGUUCAGUGACAGCAACUUACUCAGCUCUAAAUUGCAAUCCUCUGCAAAAAAAAAAAAAAAUACAGAAGAAGCACCACAUGAUGAUGUGGGACAGCUUGUCAUCCCAUGGGAGACCCCAUAUUUCUUUGCUUUAGUGAAUGUAGACUCACCCACUUCAUCAGCAUUUUCGUCUGGAAAAUAAAGAGAAAAGCAAUGCAUGAUGGGUGGAACAUCUCAUCCCACAGCACACACAGGCAGACUCUCUUUACUUUGAGUUUGGGAGGGAGCACUCACUCAGUUUUGAAGCUAAUUUCUCUGCAAAGGUAAGAAAUAGGAAAUGCAUGAAGAGAGGGGGACAUGUUUUCAUUCAAUGGCUGAUCCCAUGGGAAGACCCCAAAUUCCUUCAGUGUCAGGAGGGACACUUACUCAGAUUUGCAGCAUAGGAACCUGCAAUGGAAAGGUAGAAACAGUGCAUGGUGAGAGGAACAUCCUAUCCCACAGCUCCCCAAGGCAGAGCAGAGCAGUGCUUGGUCAGAGGGGACAGCUGCUCAUCCCACAGCUGAUGCCAUGGGGAGACCCUGAAUUCCCUCACUUAGGGGAAGGAGACUUACCCAACAUUGCAUCUUUUCUCUCUGCAAAAUAGAAGCAAAAGAAAUGCAUGGUCAGAGGGAACACCUUCUCAUCCUAUGGCUGCUCCCAUACCCAGACCCCAAAUCUUUUAUUUCUAUUAAGAGGCCAAUGACCACUUUGGUCCCAAGAAGGAGUUAAAUGAAUCAGAAGGAACCGAAUGGGCAAGAGUUCUGCAGAGGAUCAAUCAGGAUUGACAGAUCCCACAACCCCAGCACAUCCCACAGCCCCAACACAUCCCAAGGCCCCAUAGAUCCCAUGGUCCCAGCAUAAACCCAGCACUCUGCAGUCUUCUAUCAGUUCCAUUAAAGGGACUUUGGUGGUGGAAGGGGCUGGAAGGACUCACUCUGCUCUCUGCUCUGUGCGGCUGGAAAACAAAGUGGAGGAAGAGGUGGUCAGUAGGGCAGCUUGGUUUGUGGGGACUUCUCCAGAGGGUCUGGACCUUUCCGUCUGCCCCACGGUCCAGCCACAUUCCUAUCUUCCCACCCACACCCCUUUUUUUCCUUCCUUCAUUCCCAAAAAGAAAGGCAAAUGUUAUUUAAUGAGCACUGGGAAUCUCAGGAAAAAUCUCCCUUCCCCCUCCUGUGUAC
ensembl:lncRNA